GCAAAUUCACCUCUCCGCGAAACUUUGCCACCCACAAAACCAUUACAAGAAAAAUAAGACACUCCAACUUCCUUUGCGUCUUUGUCUCCCUCUCUUGUCCUUCAAUUUUCAUUUCCUUUUCAUGUCAUCCUCUUCCUCCUCCUGUUUUUUCCUUUCGAAAUCCCGAUCCCUACUUGCAGAGGCAAUAUGUAAUUGAAUAUACAGUACUAUAUAUACAUAGGUAUAUAACCCCGUUUAUAUAUUCAAUUACAUCGGCAUUUUUAUGUUUCCCUUCUUGUUUUUCCAUUUCCUGAAAUCUCUCUUUUUAUUUACCCAAAAGCUUUCCAUAUAGCAUACUUGAUCUUUUAUUGUUUUCUCAAUAUUUUGUUCAUUGUUAAUUUACAUGAAUCUAGUUUUACACAGACUCAAAGAUAGUGAAUUUAAUCAAGAUUUGGAUACUUUUGGUAUUAUU
rnacentral:lncRNA from 1 species